rnacentral:rRNA from 1 species
GCGAAUGGCUCAUUACAACAGCUAUAAUUCACUUGAUCUUGACACAAUUUUACUACUUGGAUAACUGUGGUAAUUCUAGAGCUAAUACAUGCAUUAAAGCUCUGACCUCCUCACGGAAAGAGUGCAUUUAUUAGAACAAAACCAAGCGGCUUCGGCUGUUUUCGGUUGACUCAUAGUAACUGAGCUGAUCGCAUGGUCUUGCACCGGCGACGUGUCUUUCAAGUAUCUGCCGUAUCAACUUUCGAUGGUAGUGUAUCUGACUACCAUGGUGAUCACGCGUAACGGAGAAUAAGGGUUCGACUCCGGAGAGUUCGCCUGAGAAAUAGCGAACACAUCUAAGGAAGGCAGCAGGCGCGAAAAUUACCCACUCUCAGCACGAGGAGGUAGUGACGAAAAAUAACGAGACCGUUCUCUUUCGAGGCCGGUCAUCGGAAUGGGCACAAUUUAAACCCUUUAACGAGUAUCUAUGAGAGGGCAAGUCUGGUGCCAGCAGCCGCGGUAAUUCCAGCU